GCAUUAAUGGGGUAGUGGUAACCUGGGUCGUUGCCAUCCUUGGAUUGGUGUGUAUAUUCGACCCGCCGGGGGUUCGAUUCCCCCUUAAUGCA